rnacentral:rRNA from 1 species
GAUGAACGCUGGCGGCGUGCCUAAUACAUGCAAGUCGAGCGAACGGACGAGAAGCUUGCUUCUCUGAUGUUAUCGGCGGACGGGUGAGUAACACGUGGAUAACCUACCUAUAAGACUGGGAUAACUUCGGGAAACCGGAGCUAAUACCGGAUAAUAUUUUGAACCGCAUGGUUCAAAAGUGAAAGACGGUCUUGCUGUCACUUAUAGAUGGAUCCGCGCUGCAUUAGCUAGUUGGUAAGGUAACGGCUUACCAAGGCAACGAUGCAUAGCCGACCUGAGAGGGUGAACGGACACACUGGAACUGAGACACGGUACAGACUCCUACGGGAGGCAGCAGUAGGGAAUCUUCCGCAAUGGGCGAAAGCCUGACGGAGCAACGCCGCGUGAGUGAUGAAGGUCUUCGGAUCGUAAAACUCUGUUAUUAGGGAAGAACAUAUGUGUAAGUAACUGUGCACAUCUUGACGGUACCGAAUCAGAAAGCCACGGCUAACUACGUG